rnacentral:rRNA from 1 species
GUCCACGCCGUAAACGAUGGGUGCUAGGUGUGGGCGGUGUCGACUCCGUCCGUGCCGAAGCUAACGCAUUAAGCACCCCGCCUGGGGAGUACGGCCGCAAGGCUAAAACUCAAAGGAAUUGACGGGGGCCCGCACAAGCAGCGGAGCAUGUGGUUUAAUUCGACGCGACGCGAAGAACCUUACCAAGGCUUGACAUGCACUGGAAUGUCGUAGAAAUACGGCAGCCCUUCGGGGCCGGUGCACAGGUGGUGCAUGGCUGUCGU